rnacentral:rRNA from 1 species
ACGGGAGGCAGCAGUGAGGAAUAUUGGUCAAUGGGCGGGAGCCUGAACCAGCCAAGUAGCGUGGAGGAUGACGGCCCUACGGGUUGUAAACUCCUUUUGCCGGGGGAUAAAACGCGGGACGUGUCCCGCCUUGCAGGUACCCGUGCGAAUAAGGACCGGCUAAUUCCGUGCCAGCAGCCGCGGUAAUACGGAAGGUCCGAGCGUUAUCCGGAUUUAUUGGGUUUAAAGGGUGCGCAGGCGGCCUGUUAAGUCAGCGGUUAAAUCGUGGAGCUCAACUCCAUCGCGCCGUUGAUACUGAUGGGCUUGAUUGCGGUUGAGGUUGGCGGAAUUCGCCGUGUAGCGGUGAAAUGCAUAGAUAUGGCGAAGAACUCCGAUUGCGUAGGCAGCUGACCAAGCCGCGAAUGACGCUCAUGCACGAAAGUGCGGGGAUCGAACAGGAUUAGAUACCCUGGUA